CUACUGCUCUUCCGAUCUGGGAUGUUUAGGGUAGGGGAGUAUACAUGUGUGGGUGGGAAGGGCUAUGUGGGAACUCUCUAUUUUCUGCUCAAUUCUGCUGUGAACCUGUGAACCUGACACUGCUCUAAAAGAAUAAAAUCUAUUAAAAAAAAAAAA